rnacentral:rRNA from 1 species
GACGUAGGGGGCAAGCGUUGUCCGGAAUCAUUGGGCGUAAAGCGCUCGUAGGUGGAUCGGUAAGUCUGCGGCGAAAGACCUGGGCUCAACUCAGGGAACGGCGUGGAUACUAUCGAUCUUGAGGCAUUCAGAGGAUGAUGGAAUUCCCGGUGUAGCGGUGAAAUGCGUAGAUAUGUGGAGGAAUACCGAUGGCGAAGGCAGCCCCCUGGGAUAACACUGACGCUCAUGCACGAAAGCGUGGGGAGCAAACAGG